AUCGCUUCUUGGCCUUUUGGCUAAGAUCAAGUGUAGAAAAGUAAAAUUGUACAUAAGAAACAUUGAUGAAUCGUUGUAUCAGACGAAAGUUGAUUUAGCUCAUAUUAGAAAAAGGAUAUAUUCACU
rnacentral:sRNA from 1 species